rnacentral:rRNA from 1 species
CCUACGGGAGGCAGCAGUGAGGAAUAUUGGUCAAUGGACGCAAGUCUGAACCAGCCAUGCCGCGUGCAGGAAGACGGCUCUAUGAGUUGUAAACUGCUUUUGUACGAGGGUAAACGCAGAUACGUGUAUCUGUCUGAAAGUAUCGUACGAAUAAGGAUCGGCUAACUCCGUGCCAGCAGCCGCGGUAAUACGGAGGAUUCAAGCGUUAUCCGGAUUUAUUGGGUUUAAAGGGUGCGUAGGCGGUCGGAUAAGUUAGAGGUGAAAUCCCGAGGCUCAACUUCGGAAUUGCCUUUGAUACUGUUCGGCUUGAGAGGAGUUGCGGUAGGCGGAAUGCAUGGUGUAGCGGUGAAAUGCUUAGAGAUCAUGCAGAACACCGGUUGCGAAGGCAGCUUACCGGGCUACAUCUGACGUUGAGGCACGAAAGCGUGGGGAGCAAACAGGAUUAGAUACCCCAGUAGUC